GGAAGCUGUUGUUUGUCUAAGGAUUGCAAAAGGCAUGCGACAACAGAAUUCUCAGCAGCCAGUCUGAAGGAUGGAGGGAUCUAUACAUUAGCCAGAAGGAAACUGAGAAAAUAAGCUUGAAAGCCCUUUCCUACUGCUUUUUUGAAGCUGACUGCAUAAAAAGGAAGCAUUCAGAAACUUUUCUUUAUCAGAGCAGAGAAAAAGCUGAACAACACAUGUCAAAAUACUGGAGUCCAGCAGAAGACCACGAAAAUAGUCCGGGAGAGCCUGAGAGAACUGCAUUGUCUAGGCUGGAAGGAGAAGUUGCAGGUUCCAAAUGA
rnacentral:lncRNA from 1 species